AACGCACCUUGCACUCCUUGGUAUUCCGAGGAGUAUGCUUGUUUGAGAGUAAUGUAAUCAUCAAUCCUCCUUUACUUUUGUGAAGUUGGCUUGGAUUUGGGGAUUGCUGGCCUUUCAUUAGGUCCUGGCUUCCCUUGAAUGCAUUAGUUGAAUCAAGUUACAACGUUACGUGUGGUGUGAUAAUAUCUUCACUGCAUAGUUGUAAUGAAGUUUAGCUUCUAACAGUCCUUCACUGGACAAUACUUUGAACAAUGUACCUCAAAUCAAGUAGGACUACCCGCUGAACUUAA
rnacentral:misc_RNA from 1 species